rnacentral:lncRNA from 10 species
AAGUAUUAAGAGGCUCUGCAGAAACGCCAGGACUAAAACUUUCAAAUUGAUCCUAUUUAGUAAUCAAUCAGGCUCUCCCCUCAGGUUAAUCUGCCUAAUUUUUCAUCUCAAAUCAUACACUUUACUGACACGCCAUCUAGCAAACAGUCGAUAAAAAGUUAACAAAAAUGAUAACGACUCCAGCCAGAGCCAUUGUGCAGGGCGGGUGGGCGGCCGCGGCUAUUCUCUGUCCCUUCUUCCACAUGCUUUGUAGCCCCUGACCUUACUAACCUGCCCCCUUAUCUGGCUGCCCUCUCUAUAUCCCCGGGCUUUCUGUGGUGCCCUCUCAGAUGCAUGUGUUUGGGGAGCAUAUGUAUUGUCCCCACAAAUCACUUUCUGCGCUCCAAGAGGGGCUAGUUGUUGCCGGUGGGAAGCCAAGCCCAGGUGCCUCCGGGUUCAGGUGACUGGAAAAGCCAGGGCAGGGUGAGUGGACUUCCCCGGACUUGGCGGCUCAGAGGGAUGGAGAGGUGGGGGGGGGGGUCCCCGCGGCGACGGGAAGGGGCGGAGGGUAGGCGCGCGGCCCCAGCUCGUCCCUUUCAGGGGGGACUCAUGCAUCAAACUUCAAUUUUCCGGACGAUUGAAUUAGUGAUUUUUUUUCUCCUGAACUAAAAUACACUUAAGUCUUUGGGAUUAAUUACCACGUUCUGGUCCCUCAGACUGGAGUAUUACUUAUCGGAGCUGCGUCUGACACCGGCCCGACACCUCGUAAAAUAGGGAACUGCGCCUCUCUGCCUCACCCCGCGCCGCUCGCCAGGCCACCAAGCCGGGAAAGGCGGAGCGAGGGGAAGCCGAACAAGCGGGAUCGGCCGUCCGCGCGCGGAGGGGUUCCUAGACUGGAGAGCAGAAACUACCCGCGUCCCGGGACUUGGCAAGCCCCGUCGAGCCCCGGGACACAACGGGGAAGGGAGAGACAAAGCCGAGCCGCCUCUCCUGGCCAGCCCGGAACCGAAAGUGGGUCCGUAGAGAGCCCAGAGUCCUGGGGGAACAGAUGGGCAAAGGGCUCUAGGAGGUGAUGGAACUCAGGCCCGAAGGGCAGGCAGCCCACAGGAUACCAAGCCUUAACGAACUACGCCAGAAGAAUGGGCGUAGGGCCCACAGCCCCUCACACAACCCAGGCCAAGCUCCCUCGUACACUCAGACCAGGAGAAGAAACAGACACGCAAUACACAAGCCCCGCUCCCUUGGAGCCUACACUUGGGCGAACACACCACUGCUGUUUGCAGUAUCCCGAGACAGGCCCGGCAGGCGUGAGCUAAGAGGCCUCGGGCCCGAACUUGGGAUUUGAGGCUCUCUCACAUCGCCGGUCCCAGCGGCAGCGCCUGAGGCACAGCCAAGACCAUCCGAGGUCCCCGGGCCGCGCGCAGGUAGCAGACUUCUUCAGAACUGGGGGAGCUAAAGAGAGAGUGGGCUUAGAGCCCAGGCCUCCCUGGAUCCCAGAUCCUCGCCUCCGCCUACAGCCAAGCCCCUCAGCUUUUGCCCAGAGCUGCUGACUUCCUCGCCGCCUCCCUGCGCAAUGGGACCUAGAGAUAAGCCCCAAGCCCGGGUGCUAGUCCAGGCAGAGUCGGGUGCUAGUCCAGGCAGAGUCCAGUGCUAGUCCGCGGCCUCAACAGAGCUGUCGGCUGGGCUCCGGAAGCCCACCCGGAACCUGAUGGAGGCAGCGAAUUCCUCAGAGCAGAGGACACUGCGGAGAGGCUCGAAUCCACUUCCCACAUUGUGCGGGACCGAGCGCGCAGGGCGCUCUCGCGUGGCCUCCUUAGCUCGGGUUCAGCCGAGGCUCUCACGUACACUUCGUUACCCCUUCCCCCCGCCGCAGCUCUGGUCCUUCCUUCCACUGGCUCUCUUCUCUGGCCUAUGGAAACAACGAACUACUUUUCGCCUUUCAAGGCCCGGGUCCCAAGCCACCUCCUCUGUGAAGCCGCCAACACCCUGGUAGCUGCCUCUCAGUGUUUUGCAACUGGCACGGCCCUGUCCCUCGGUCCGCUUCUACUAGCGCUGGGGGUGCUGCGAGUCUUGCCCACUAGACUAGGAGCUCCUUGAGGGCAGGAACCGAAUCUGAUUCGUUUCCAUUUUCCCAGCCCCCCUGCGCGGCCUGGCGCAGAAAAGACGCGCAAUAAACAUUUGCUGAAUUGAAUUGCGUUUUCUCCUUAUUUUAUUAAUCCUUCCCCUUCCUUCUUUCAUUCUUUCUUUUCCUCCUUCCUUCCUCCCUCGUUAUUUUUUAUUUCUUGGUUAUAUUCAAUUGUCAUGUUUUUCAGGCUCAUUAAAUCCAUUUAGAGACAAAAGAAUAAAAGGCAGAAGGGGAAGGGCGGGGGAGGAGAGAGGGGGAAGGGAGGGGAGGGGGCAGGCCGGAGAAGCAAACAAAUAACCCGCUUUAACUAGACGGGCGGAUAAAUGGCCCCGUUUCUCCUCAGCCCCGACGCGCCUGCUUAGCUGCGCGCCCCGCGGGCGCCGCAGCUCGGGUGGGCUCAGCCCUGGGGCCGCCGCCCCCAGCCCAAAGGGACCCAGCGGGGCCAGGCCCAGGGCCGCGAAGCAGAGAGCGGCCGGAGGUGCCAGGGCCGCUUCAUUGGGAUUCAUGAGCGUGUUGGGCGGGCGGCCUGGGGCUUCGGGCGCGGGGCGGGGGCCGAGUGGGGGGGUGCGCACGGCGGGCGCAGAUGCCCGGGUGACCGACCCGCCGUGGUCCCUGCGCCGCCUUUGUGCCGAGGAGGCGCGCGCGGGGACCUAAUCCAUCAAAUUGUCUACAAAUUGUGAAGAAAAUUCAAAAACCAUAUGGUCGCCAGCGCCGGCGCGCUCUGGGCUGCGGAGGGCCGCGGCCGUGCCCGCACCGGGAGCCGCGGGGGGCUGGGCCCGGCUAUUGUCGCCUGUCAGCGGCCGCCCAGGCCCAUUCGUCCCGGCCUUCAUGGUCCGCGCUCCGAAUUACAGACCCAUCCAUCCUAAGAGAGGGCAAUUUUUGUCGCCCGGGAGGAACCAGCCGCACGCCUGCCGAAACCCGCUCUGUCCAGGAAAGUGAAAGCGGCCUCAGCCCCCGCCCCAGCCGGC